rnacentral:snRNA from 1 species
AAUUCAACCUAGUACGAG